CCCGUACACAAAAAUGCACAUGCUGUGAGCUCGAUGAGUAGGGCGGGACACGUGGUAUCCUGUCUGAAUAUGGGGGGACCAUCCUCCAAGGCUAAAUACUCCUGACUGACCGAUAGUGAACCAGUACCGUGAGGGAAAGGCGAAAAGAACCCCGGCGAGGGGAGUGAAAAAGAACCUGAAACCGUGUACGUACAAGCAGUGGGAGCACGCUUAGGCGUGUGACUGCGUACCUUUUGUAUAAUGGGUCAGCGACUUAUAUUCUGUAGCAAGGUUAACCGAAUAGGGGAGCCGAAGGGAAACCGAGUCUUAACUGGGCGUUAAGUUGCAGGGUAUAGACCCGAAACCCGGUGAUCUAGCCAUGGGCAGGUUGAAGGUUGGGUAACACUAACUGGAGGACCGAACCGACUAAUGUUGAAAAAUUAGCGGAUGACUUGUGGCUGGGGGUGAAAGGCCAAUCAAACCGGGAGAUAGCUGGUUCUCCCCGAAAGCUAUUUAGGUAGCGCCUCGUGAAUUCAUCUCCGGGGGUAGAGCACUGUUUCGGCAAGGGGGUCAUCCCGACUUACCAACCCGAUGCAAACUGCGAAUACCGGAGAAUGUUAUCACGGGAGACACACGGCGGGUGCUAACGUCCGUCGUGAAGAGGGAAACAACCCAGACCGCCAGCUAAGGUCCCAAAGUCAUGGUUAAGUGGGAAACGAUGUGGGAAGGCCCAGACAGCCAGGAUGUUGGCUUAGAAGCAGCCAUCAUUUAAAGAAAGCGUAAUAGCUCACUGGUCGAGUCGGCCUGCGCGGAAGAUGUAACGGGGCUAAACCAUGCACCGAAGCUGCGGCAGCGACGCUUAUGCGUUGUUGGGUAGGGGAGCGUUCUGUAAGCCUGUGAAGGUGUGCUGUGAGGCAUGCUGGAGGUAUCAGAAGUGCGAAUGCUGACAUAAGUAACGAUAAAGCGGGUGAAAAGCCCGCUCGCCGGAAGACCAAGGGUUCCUGUCCAACGUUAAUCGGGGCAGGGUGAGUCGACCCCUAAGGCGAGGCCGAAAGGCGUAGUCGAUGGGAAACAGGUUAAUAUUCCUGUACUUGGUGUUACUGCGAAGGGGGGACGGAGAAGGCUAUGUUGGCCGGGCGACGGUUGUCCCGGUUUAAGCGUGUAGGCUGGUUUUCCAGGCAAAUCCGGAAAAUCAAGGCUGAGGCGUGAUGACGAGGCACUACGGUGCUGAAGCAACAAAUGCCCUGCUUCCAGGAAAAGCCUCUAAGCAUCAGGUAACAUCAAAUCGUACCCCAAACCGACACAGGUGGUCAGGUAGAGAAUACCAAGGCGCUUGAGAGAACUCGGGUGAAGGAACUAGGCAAAAUGGUGCCGUAACUUCGGGAGAAGGCACGCUGAUAUGUAGGUGAAGUCCCUCGCGGAUGGAGCUGAAAUCAGUCGAAGAUACCAGCUGGCUGCAACUGUUUAUUAAAAACACAGCACUGUGCAAACACGAAAGUGGACGUAUACGGUGUGACGCCUGCCCGGUGCCGGAAGGUUAAUUGAUGGGGUCAGCGCAAGCGAAGCUCUUGAUCGAAGCCCCGGUAAACGGCGGCCGUAACUAUAACGGUCCUAAGGUAGCGAAAUUCCUUGUCGGGUAAGUUCCGACCUGCACGAAUGGCGUAAUGAUGGCCAGGCUGUCUCCACCCGAGACUCAGUGAAAUUGAACUCGCUGUGAAGAUGCAGUGUACCCGCGGCAAGACGGAAAGACCCCGUGAACCUUUACUAUAGCUUGACACUGAACAUUGAGCCUUGAUG
rnacentral:rRNA from 1 species